rnacentral:lncRNA from 1 species
CUUCUUUCUGCUUAAUGUGGUGUCAGCUGGGGACCAGAUCUAACUCAUUUCCUAGUAGCAUACUGAAAUAGUUUUCCAUGAGAAGUGCUGCAGUUUUUUAUUGCACACAUACAAUCCUUUGUUGAGAUUAUAAUUGUUUCCUACCAUCAGUGAUUCUUCUUUUUUUUCUUGCUGUACUUUCCAGCUCUCAGUAUUGUUCUGUGUCUCGGAACUGCAGGUUUUCCACAAAAGAAAAUUCGGUUGUGUCAAGGUGAUGGUGUGGUUAUUGUUUUUCUUUGGGCAUGGGCCAAACCACGCAGAUGGCAUACUAGGACGAGCCUGUGCCUCUUCCUGUCAUGAUGCUGAUAAGUCCAUAGUCAACACUGUCAUUCCUUUUGUAACAUUUUUAUAAGCUCCCUUCCACUUCAGCAUUAGGAGACUCAGCUCUACGCUCUCCAGGUAUUCCCUCUUGGUUCAUAACGUCUCUCGUCAUUCUCCCGUAAUGGAAGGAGACCAAUGGUUUUGUUGCCAACUCUUCGAGAAAAUCAGAGGAGCGACUGGGAAAUCUGUCUUCCAUGGAAAAGAGGAAAGAUGCUAAGGGACAGGAUGUACCCUCCUUGACAGUGUGGUCAAACAGCCAGCUUCCUCACUUGUCCCUAAAGAGCUCUCAGACAACUGUCUAGAAAAGUGCACAGUCUCCCCAGCUGUUAACAGCAGGAUAUACUGCAGCACUCCAGACUGCUGCUGCCAUGUCGUUUCAGUGCCUCCGGGGUCAGCUCAGUGUAUUAAAUUAACAGUUUUCCCAGGCAAUGCAAAAUGUCUGUGAACAGAAUGGUGCAGCAUAAUAAUGGGAUACAAGGGGAAGAUACCUGCUUAAAUAUGAAAUGUUUUGGUAAGAGCAGGAGACGUUGAAGUGGUUCUGACUUACAUGACUUAGUGCCAAACACACGUUGUCACGCAGCAGUCCCAGCACGCUGUGUCUGUUCACCACCACUUCACAUUUUCAUAGCUUAUUUUAGAACAGUUGCAUUUUUUUUUCCAUCCUUAAUAAUUUAUGAGCUUAGAAUUAUCGAUAACGUGAAGCUUCAUUAUAAACUAUCAGGAGGAUUCUCAUCUGACUCGUCCCAUUAAAUUAUUAUUCCCAAACAUGAUUUAUAUUUAAUAAGACAUCAAUUGAACAUCAGUAAAAAUAAUAAUUAAUGAACUAUAUCUUCACAGAAAUACCAAUAGCUUAAAGACAAGCAAAUGCUGUGUACGGUCUGCAGGUCAGCUGUCAAACCUCUCUGAGAAUAUUUGUCUGUUUAGUAUUUAGAAUAUGAUAGUAAACAACAAAGAUAUUGCUGUGGUCUUCAGCUGAUUCUUGUGACAACUGUGGACCACGCCAAACCAUGAACCUGUAAGGCAGAACUGGGAAGUAACAAAGUGUUCUGUGUAGGUGAGGAGGUAAUCUCAAAACACUACAAAUGCCCAAGCAACUUCACGUUUCCACAAACAAAAUGUCAAAAGAAUUUUGGUUUGGGUAAUUUUUUUUCUUUAACAUGAUCUACUGGAUUGAAACGCUCUAUUUCUCCAUACAGAAAGUUAAAAUAAACAAUUUUACUGAUUGAAACUUCUGCCUAAAAACACAUUAAAAUAGCCUAAAGUUCAACAGUGUCAUUUGGGUCUUCUGUUCUAACAAACUAUUGCUCCACAGGACAAACUUCAUCAAAUAUUUGUAUUCAGAAAGAAGUGACAUUACUUCAUCCCAGGGAAUUGCAGCAAAGGCCCUUAAUCCUACUGCACCUUAUAGCAUUGCAGUAGUGGUUAUCACUCAUCAGGGACCACUUCUGUUUACAUUUCCUCAGCUUACACACAUCCCACAUGAGUCUUAAUGGAGGAGGAGAAAGGACAGGAGAAAAAGUUUUUCUGGAUUUUCUUCUUCAUUUCUAGUUUUUAUUUCUUACUUUCCUGUUCUGUUCAAAUUUCAUCAGGGAUGGAACAAAAGCUUCAGAUGGACAAGGUGACCACGUUGUCAGUAUCACACUUACCUUUGUCCAGGUUCAUUGGGAAGGAUUUACUCCCUGCUCCCUCAGACCCUCACUUAUGUAGGAUUUACACAAGGGCUUUGAUUGCACGUUCUGGAAGAAAGCCAAAAGACGUUACUGUCCUUCAGUGACAGCUUGAUGGUUUUUAAUAUUCGUUGGAUCUCCUUUUCAUCCACUGCACAUGCCUUUUUUAACUGCUCACGUCCACGAUUUGGCUUCUCCAUUACACAACCAAGGAUUAUAAGGGCAGCUGUCCUCUAAUGUAAAACACGAGUUGACGCAAACAUUGCAGUCUCUUUUAAAACUUUAAAGCCCCUUGAGCUUGAGAUAUUUACAGCUCUACAGAGAUGUGCUACUCAAACCCCAGCAAAGAAAGGUUUCAGUUUAACUUUCUUAAAACAUUAAGAGCUGAUGGAACCAUAAAGACAUUCUGGUCUGACCUCCUACAUCGUGUUUUUACUCAGUCACUUCCAUCUCGAUCCCCCGAACAUACUGAGACAAAUACACCUUUCUGAAAGGCUUGAUAUCUUAAUCUGCACCUGAAAAAUCUAUUACUAUUACCAGUUCACACUAGCAUUAUUACCUCACACUCCAAAGCACAAUUGAGAAGCCCAGUUAUGCUUCUCAGUUUGUCACUCCCACCCCCAGCCAAUGAUUUUACCUUUUCUCUGCUGCUCAGUGCUUUGGUAUUCCCUAUCUUGGUGCCAUGAGGGAGCUAGACACAUCGGAGGUUGUAGCAUUUCUGCCACCCAGAAACAUGCAAGCAAUAGCAUGCAUACAUGAAGGUCUCUAGUAUGUCUU